GGGGAAUAUUGGACAAUGGGCGAAAGCCUGAUCCAGCCAUGCCGCGUGUGUGAAGAAGGUCUUCGGAUUGUAAAGCACUUUAAGUUGGGAGGAAGGGCAGUUACCUAAUACGUGAUUGUUUUGACGUUACCGACAGAAUAAGCACCGGCUAACUCUGUGCCAGCAGCCGCGGUAAUACAGAGGGUGCAAGCGUUAAUCGGAAUUACUGGGCGUAAAGCGCGCGUAGGUGGUUAGUUAAGUUGGAUGUGAAAUCCCCGGGCUCAACCUGGGAACUGCAUUCAAAACUGACUGACUAGAGUAUGGUAGAGGGUGGUGGAAUUUCCUGUGUAGCGGUGAAAUGCGUAGAUAUAGGAAGGGACACCAGUGGCGAAGGCGACCACCUGGACUGAUACUGACACUGAGGUGCGAAAGCGUGGGGAGCAAAC
rnacentral:rRNA from 1 species